rnacentral:rRNA from 1 species
GACGGAGGAUGCAAGUGUUAUCCGGAAUCACUGGGCGUAAAGCGUCUGUAGGUGGUUCGAAAAGUCCACUGUUAAAAAUUGAAGCUUAACUUCAAAGAUGCCGUGGAAACUUUUAAACUUGAGUAUGGUAGGGGUAGAGGGAAUUUCCAGUGGAGCGGUGGAAAUGCGUAGAUAUUGGAAAGACCACCAAUGGCGAAGGCACUCUACUGGGCCAUUACUGACACUGAGAGACGAAAGCUAGGGGAGCAAAUGGG